rnacentral:rRNA from 1 species
CCAAGGAGUCUAACAUGUGCGCGAGUCACUCGGUCUUGAAUAGGCCAGAGAGGCGCAAUGAAAGUAAAGUUGAUUGAGUUACGAUCCUCAUGUGGCACAGUAACCCUGUGCAGUGAGGCGCAGUAACAGCCCGUCAGUUUCGCUUAUUGACGAUUUGGCGGAGUUGUAGCGUACACGUUGGUACCCGAAAGAUGGUGAACUAUGCCUGGGCAAGACGAAGCCAGAGGAAACUCUGGUGGAGGUCUGUAGCGAUUCUGACGUGCAAAUCGAUCGUCAGACCUGGGUAUAGGGGCGAAAGACUAAUCGAACCAUC